GUAUUGGUGGUAUAGUGGUGAGCAUAGCUGCUUUCCAAGCAAUUAACCUGGAUUCAAUUCCCAGCCAAUGCC
rnacentral:tRNA from 1 species